rnacentral:rRNA from 1 species
AGAAUCAACGCUGGCGGCGUGCCUAACACAUGCAAGUCGAACGAGAAAGGGUAGCAAUACCUGAGUAAAGUGGCGCACGGGUGAGUAACACGUGACUAACCUACCCUGGAGUAGGGGAUAACUGAGGGAAACCUUAGCUAAUACCGCAUAACACCUACGGGUCAAAGGAGCAAUUCGCUUCAGGAGGGGGUCGCGGCCGAUUAGUUAGUUGGCGGGGUAAUGGCCCACCAAGACAGUGAUCGGUAUCCGGCCUGAGAGGGCGCACGGACACACUGGAACUGAAACACGGUCCAGACUCCUACGGGAGGCAGCAGUGGGGAAUUUUGCGCAAUGGGGAAACCCUGACGCAGCAACGCCGCGUGGAGGAUGAAGUCCUUCGGGACGUAAACUCCUUUCGAUCGGGACGAUAAUGACGGUACGGAAGAAGAAGCCCGGCUAACUUCGUGCCAGCAGCCGC